CGCGUAGGCGGUGCUCUAAGUCGGAUGUGAAAACUCUGGGCUCAACCCAGAGCCUGCGGGAUCCGAAACUGGAGUGCUAGAGUUCUGGAGGGGGUAGCGGAAUUCCUGGUGUAGCGGUGAAAUGCGUAGAUAUCAGGAGGAACACCGGUGGCGAAGGCGGCUACCUGGACAGAAACUGACGCUGAGGCGCGAAAGCUAGGGGAGCAAACA
rnacentral:rRNA from 1 species